rfam:Ophiophagus hannah scaffold848.1, whole genome shotgun sequence.
GGAUCUGAGGACAAUCUGGCGCCAAACUCUGUUACUUUAUUUUACACCCAGAUUGAAUCAGUUGAUUGGGCUAGCUAGACCAAUAUCUCUUUCCUCCUUCACCACUCUGCAUAUGUCUCUCCCAGAGCUAUCCACUUUGUGAGAGUGGCUACCAUUUCAGUUAGGAAUGUACCAUUUUUAGUGCAACAUAUAACUGCACUCCCCAGUUAAAAGCUGCAAAAAAUUUAACAUAGAAGCGGUUAUGAACUCAACAAUGCUAGAAGUCUUUUCAUAAUAUUGCAUUUUUAUUUAU